rnacentral:tRNA from 1 species
AACAUAGGUAGUGGUAGAAUGGCUGAGUAAGCAUUAGACUGUAAAUCUAAAGACAGAGGUUAAGCCCUUUUUCUAUCA